rnacentral:rRNA from 1 species
UACGGGGGGGGGCAAGCGUUGUUCGGAAUUACUGGGCGUAAAGGGCGUGUAGGCGGCCAACUAAGUCCGACGUGAAAUCCCCAGGCUUAACCUGGGAACUGCGUCGGAUACUGGAUGGCUUGAAUCCGGGAGAGGGAUGCAGAAUUCCAGGUGUAGCGGUGAAAUGCGUAGAUAUCUGGAGGAAUACCGGUGGCGAAGGCGGCAUCCUGGACCGGCAUUGACGCUGAAGCGCGAAAGCUAGGGGAGCAAAGCGGG